CGCCCAACAGCUAGCCCCCUCCAUCACCUCCAAACCAACCCUAUUUAUACCCCCAAAUACACUACCCCUUGACAACAAACCAUUUUUUUCACCUAAGUACGGGCGACGAAAAAGGACCUAAGAGCAACAGAGAAAGUACCGCARGGGAAAGCUGAAAGAGUAAUGAAAUAAUCCAGUAAAGCACUAAAAAGCAGAGACCACCCCUCGUACCUUUUGCAUCAUGAUUUAGCCAGAAAACCUCAAGCAAAAAGCAUUAUAGUUUGAUACCCCGAAACUAAGCGAGCUACUCCAAGACAGUCUAGUUUAUAGGACCACCCCGUCUCUGUGGCAAAAGAGUGGGAAGAGCUUCGAGUAGAGGUGACAGACCUACCGAGCCUAGUUAUAGCUGGUUGCCUGAGAACUGAAUAGAAGUUCAGCCCUUUAAAUUCUCCAUUCCUAUUGGCCCAACGCCUUCACACAGAACAAAAGAAAUUUUAAAGGAGUUAGUCAAAGGGGGUACAGCCCCUUUGAAACAAGAUACAACUUUCCAAGGAGGAUAAAAAUCACAAUAAACUUAAAGGAUAGAUGUUCUAGUGGGCCUAAAAGCAGCCACCUACCCAGAAAGCGUUAAAGCUCCAACAUUUCCUACAACCUUCUAAUAAAGACAACAUAAUUUUACCCCCCUAAACCUACCAGGCCGUUCCAUAACAUUAUGGAAGCGUUUAUGCUAAUAUGAGUAAUAAGAGAACCCCUCUCUCCCCGCACAAGUGUAAAUCGGAACGAACCCCUCACCGACCAUUAACGACCCCAAAACAAAGAGGGCCCUAGGCAAAAAAUAAAUAACUAGAAAAACCCCUAGCCCCCCACCGUUAACCCCACACUGGUGUGCAACCCAGGAAAGACUAAAAGAAAAAGAAGGAACUCGGCAAACACAAGCCUCGCCUGUUUACCAAAAACAUCGCCUCUUGAACCCCUAUAUAUAAGAGGUCCCGCCUGCCCUGUGACUAUAA
rnacentral:rRNA from 1 species